rnacentral:rRNA from 1 species
CAUCGUUUACGGCGUGGACUACCAGGGUAUCUAAUCCUGUUUGCUCCCCACGCUUUCGCACCUCAGUGUCAGUAUCAGUCCAGGUGGUCGCCUUCGCCACUGGUGUUCCUUCCUAUAUCUACGCAUUUCACCGCUACACAGGAAAUUCCACCACCCUCUACCGUACUCUAGCUCGCCAGUUCUGGAUGCAGUUCCCAGGUUGAGCCCGGGGCUUUCACAUCCAACUUAACGAACCACCUACGCGCGCUUUACGCCCAGUAAUUCCGAUUAACGCUUGCACCCUUCGUAUUACCGCGGCUGCUGGCACGAAGUUAGCCGGUGCUUAUUCUGUCGGUAACGUCAAAAUUGCAGAGUAUUAAUCUACAACCCUUCCUCCCAACUUAAAGUGCUUUACAAUCCGAAGACCUUCUUCACACACGCGGCAUGGCUGGAUCAGGCUUUCGCCCAUUGUCCAAUAUUCCCCACUGCUGCCUCCCGUAGGAGUCUGGACCGUGUCUCAGUUCCAGUGUGACUGAUCAUCCUCUCAGACCAGUUACGGAUCGUCGCCUUGGUGAGCCAUUACCUCACCAACUAGCUAAUCCGACCUAGGCUCAUCUAAUGGCGCGAGGUCCGAAGAUCCCCCGCUUUCUCCCGUAGGACGUAUGCGGUAUUAGCGUCCGUUUCCGAACGUUAUCCCCCACCACUAGGCAGAUUCCUAGGCAUUACUCACCCGUCCGCCGCUCUCAAGAGAAGCAAGCUCCUCUCUACCGCUC